AACGAACGCUGGCGGCAUGCCUAACACAUGCAAGUCGAACGAGACCUUCGGGUCUAGUGGCGCACGUGUGCGUAACGCGUGGGAACCUGCCCUUAGGUUCGGAAUAACUCCCCGAAAGGGGUGCUAAUACCGGAUAAUGUCUUCGGACCAAAGAUUUAUCGCCUUUGGAUGGGCCCGCGUUGGAUUAGCUAGUUGGUAGUGUAAAAGCCUACCAAGGCGACGAUCCAUAGCUGGUCUGAGAGGAGGAUCAGCCACACUGGGACUGAGACACGGUCCAGAAUCGUACGGGAGGCAGCAGUGGGGAAUAUUGGACAAGGGGCGAAAGCCUGAUACAGCAAUGCGGCGUGAGUGAUGAAGGCCUUAGGGUUGUAAAGCUCUUUUAGCCGGGAUGAUAAUGACAGUACCGGGAGAAUAAGCUCCGGCUAACUCCGUG
rnacentral:rRNA from 1 species